rnacentral:rRNA from 1 species
ACUGAACGCUGGCGGCAGGCCUAACACAUGCAAGUCGAGCGGAUGAGAGGAGCUUGCUCCUCGAUUCAGCGGCGGACGGGUGAGUAAUGCCUAGGAAUCUGCCUAGUAGUGGGGGACAACGUUUCGAAAGGAACGCUAAUACCGCAUACGUCCUACGGGAGGAAGUGGGGGAUCUUCGGACCUCACGCUAUUAGAUGAGCCUAGGUCGGAUUAGCUAGUUGGUAGGGUAAAGGCCUACCAAGGCGACGAUCCGAAACUGGUCUGAGAGGAUGAGCAGUCACACGGGAACUGAGACACGGUCCAGACUCCUACGGGAGGCAGCAGUGGGGAAUAUUGGACAAUGGGCGAAAGCCUGAUCCAGCCAUGCCGCGUGUGUGAAGAAGGCCUUCGGGUCGUAAAGCACUUUAAGUUGGGAGGAAGGGCUCAUAGCGAAUACCUGUGAGUUUUGACGUUACCAACAGAAUAAGCACCGGCUAACUUCGUGCCAGCAGCCGCGGUAAGAC